UACGUAGGUCCCGAGCGUUGUCCGGAUUUAUUGGGCGUAAAGCGAGCGCAGGUGGUUUAUUAAGUCUGGUGUAAAAGGCAGUGGCUCAACCAUUGUAUGCAUUGGAAACUGGUAGACUUGAGUGCAGGAGAGGAGAGUGGAAUUCCAUGUGUAGCGGUGAAAUGCGUAGAUAUAUGGAGGAACACCGGUGGCGAAAGCGGCUCUCAGGCCUGUAACUGACACUGAGGUUCGAAAGCGUGGGUAGCAAACAGG
rnacentral:rRNA from 1 species